CGGGCUCCUGAGUCAGGUGCCCCUAUAGGAGUUCCCGUGUGAGCAGUGGGGCCGUGGGGCAGGGGGGUGAACUGUGCAGACCCCACCCCAUCUAAGGAGAGCGCUGCCUCUCAGCUCCAGAUGCCUGUCGUCACAAGGAGCACAAGCCCAGUCUCAUGGCAUCUUCUGAUUUUUCAAGAGAAGCAAGAUAGCAGGAUUUAUUCACUUUUACUGAAAACAGGCUUUUCAAAUCGAACAAAACAAGUCUGUGAAUCAGAUGCGGCUCUUUGGCCUCUGGUUCGAGCCUUCUGCCAGAGCCCUCCUGGCUCUCUGCUUUGCCAAAUUAGGGCAACGAUUAAUUCAUAUUUUACUAGUCCACUCACGUUCUGUCUUAGCGUCCCUGCUAAUGGUAGUGAUCAUUUUGUUCUGUGUUAGGUAUCUUUGGAUGUGAAUUAGCUCAAGAGAUGGGGGCUUAUUUUAAAGGUAACAUCGAGGAAUAAAGGUGGCAGAGGCUCCUGGAAAUCCAAGGCAGGAGCUGCGACAGCCGAUGUUUCUAGCAGGAGGCACAGCCCCAGGGCACUUCGGGGGACCUCGGCAGUCAGGCUCUGCCAUCGACAAGGUGACGUCACCUCCGUGGGUCUGUGCUGUCUCCAUGCAGUAGCCACCGAACUAGAAAGCUGGACAAAAUAUAUGAAACAACCGGAUUUGGACAUCAGGACCACAGGCUGCGCAGGACUGUGAUCCCUAAGAGACAGGAAACAGAUGAAGCGAGGUGUCCAGUCCACUCGGUUUUCUUCCUGGAGGCAGCGUUCCUACCACCGCAGGGAGGGGAGAGCGGACAGCGCGUGGCCGUCUGCAGAAGUGAGGAGGCGGAGGCUGGGCCCUGGGGAUGCUGCCGGCAGAGCAGCAGAGAGGAGAUCCAAAUGUCUCAUCAGGUCCCCUGGAGCGGUCACUGAGCCGGAAUCUACGCACGCACAGGGGGAAACUCCAUGAGGCGGGCGGAGAAUGGAACUGUUGUUCCGAAGGUCUUUUAAAACUCCUUGUGCAAUAGUUUGAUGCACAGAAAGAUACAGAAGCACAUCACUAGUCUGAGGGGAAAAAAUGGAUGCCAAAGCUGCUGGUCACAUGUGAAGCCAGCCUCCACGGAACUCGCUUGGUACGACCUCUCAUUCACCUUGAGAGAAUCAGGGGAGAAGCUAUAAUUCCUUCACUGCCAAAUAUGUGAGCUAACAGGAGUCCUGCGUGUCACUAGGCUCUGGGCAUGGCCUGUCCAUUGUUUUGUGCCUGUUGUGCCGUCCUUCAGCGAGGGAGCGUUCCUGCCGUGGGAGCUCUUGGAAUGAAUGCAGGAAGCCCAGCUCACAGCAGGUGCUCGGCCAGCGACGCUCGUCACCUUCAUUGCUCUUUUCUGAGCAGCAGUCACCCAUUCUCUCCGAUGCCUCUGCUGCCAGAAGAUUCCAUGUGCCACAGUGAAGGCUCCUGUCUCAGGAGGGCAGUGACCGGACUCCCAGGGCCACGUGGAGGGAGCCUCUCAGAGGGGAGGUGCCUUUCAGUGAUUUGAUGCCUCCUGGAACCUAGACAUGAAGGAAGGAGCUGGAGCAGCCAUCUUGGGCUGUUGAAACUGCGUUGUAAGGAUGGCAGAGCAACAACAUGGAAGGAGUCUGGGUCCCACGUGCACUGGAGCAGAUGCCCGGACCUGUGUCUGAAGGAGAGAUCUCUGUCUUGCUUCUGCUGCUGUGUUUGGGGUCUCUGUUGCAGCAGCACAGCCCGCACCUUCACUCGUCACAGCCAAUACUCGCCCUCGUCCGAGGCUUCCUCCUGGCCCCACCCUAAGGCAAUUGUGACUUGCAAAUCUUCACUAUGACUUUAUUUUCAAAGUUUACUUGAUUAGACUCAUUUGAUGAGAGAUGACAGUUGAGGUUCCCAAGACUCUCCCUUUUUAAAAUAUUCCCUCAUUAUUAUUCCCUCCCUUUCUCCUCUUUCCCUCUGCCCUCUUCGUUUCUUGGCUUCUCUUUCUGAGAGCCGGGGGCCGAUGUCAGGGUCUGAUGAUUUCCUGGCCCUGCACGAGCUUGAGGUUGCCAGCUGUUCCCACUCUCCUUCUGCUUUCUUCUCCUCGCUCCCCUCCCCUCUCCCGACAUCCCAGGCCUCACCAAAAGGAAGCAAGAAAGCUUAAGAGAAAGGCGGGGGGUGUACCAGAAAGUCGCUCCUGGCCUCCGGCCCCUGAUGUGCUUCAUUCUUUGCUGAAAAAGCUGGUGGGGGGCUGGAAUCCAGCGAGGGAACCAGAAAUCCCAGGGUCUUGCCUUUCUUUUAUUUUGUGCACUUUUUUUCCCUGUUUUUUUCCAACAUUAUAGGCCUUCGGGUCUGCUAUGUUUUCUUUCACUUUUUAGCAUUUCGGCUCCAGGCUUGGUUUAAUCGAAUCCACUUUUAAGUUCAAUGAGUGCUCCUGAUUGUAAACGUGUCUUCCGCCUUUAUUCCCAUCUUAGGGACAUUUCUGGGAAUUGAAAUAGUUUCCUGCUAAAUGAUGCUUGUCCCUGGUUCCAGGAACAGGUGAGAAGCGAGGGCAGCAGGAGGAAGGGAAAGAUGUGCGGCCGCGCCCCCAGGUUCAUCACGUCAGAGUCCCGGAUGGCCCUUGCCACUGUGGCUCAUCCUCUCCUCGUUUCACGGCUGCACCAUUUUACGGGUAAUACUUCCCUCAGCCUCAGGCCCCACCAGAGAGCUGGUACUUCCUCUUCUUGGAACAAACAGCUCAGCAAGCUCCUGAGAAGUCUCUGGCUGCCAAUUUACAAUGUCAGUUUCUGCAGACAAGAGGCCUCCCUCCCACAGCUGGAAGUGGACACUGGCCUCUCUGGCCAAGUGGGGGCCCUUCACCUGGGCCAGCAGCUAACGAGGAGGGAGGAGCGGAUGGAGGCAGAGGGGGGAUCUCUGUAGACACCUCCGUGGCUGGGGGUGAAGUUUUGGGGCCGAGAGAGCCCUGCACAGCAGGUGGGCUCUGGAUAGUGGCCGGGCUGGGUGAGGGUUCUGUCAUAAGUCAGGUCCGGGGUCUGGUGGGGCAGCAGGAGCCUGCUUUGGGCCACAGGACUUGGGAGAUGUCUAGAGGGUUUUGAAAGGCCACAUGCCUUCCUGGACAGGAGUGGGCAGUCCCAUUGUCUGGGGAGUUGUUGACGGUAUUUGGACAGUGGGGCAAAUGCCAGCUUUAAUGGGUCUCAGGCCCUCAGGGCCCACCCCUGUGGGGAAUGGAAGAGUGGACACUGUCCAGGGCUCCCCACCGGUCCCAGAGGCCCAAGAGGUAUCAUGGUCAGCACAGGUGACCCUAAAACGUCUGCAGAGCCCUGAGACCAAACCCUGGGAAGUGUGGACACAAGGACCGAAAGCUCCCACUGGUGGGACUUCCAAGAAAUGGGUGAAGGGAGGCAUGAAGGAGUGAAUGCUGCAGCUGCUCCAUCAGCUGCUCCGGAACCUGGGCUCCGGAGGGCAGUGCCCACCCUCAUAGGGGCGUGCGGGGGAGGCAGUGGACUUGAGCCUGCCCAGCGAAGGUGCUUCAUCAGUGACCCUCUCCAGACCAGGCCACAGAGGGGUAUGUCCCUGCACCAGGGAGACAGGGAGGCCCACAUGGGGGUCAGUCGGCUCCUUGUUGGUGAAGGACCCCCUACACUCUGGAGCAGCCAGCGGGACCACAGACCAGGCUUGCCCCAGUCUCCCCUCCUCCCAACCAGAGGUAGGAGCGCUGGCAUUUCAGCUGGAAAUCAAAGGGUGGGAUUGCUUGAGCUGGUGAUGGCGGGGUCCAGAGGCCUGGGGGGUGAUGUCAAGGACGACCCCUUCUCAGCGUAAAGAGGCAGAUGGCAAAGGCAGGAUCUCUGCCCCCAGUCACGAAAGCCCCCUUCCUCCCACAGCCGCUCGGUGUUAAGCCUUGUUUUGGUCCUGGAAACAGCGCUUAUCUUGGUCUCUCUCCAUCUCUGUCAGCAUCUCUUCAGUGCCUCCCGAGUGUUGGCACAGCUGGCAGGAUGGCCGUGGGGAGGAAGGGGACCCCUCUCAGCCCAGCUGGGAGCCCGUUACUUCUCACUCACGAUGUUGUGUGUGUUUUAGAAUCAGCAGAGACCAAGGAGAAGGAAGGGAAAGGAAAACCAGCCCUAUGCGAGUGUGUGGGAGAAAGGUCCACGUCGUUGGGGCAAGAGCCUUGUGACUGCAGAGGGACACCCCCUGGCGCCCCUCCCGCCACCGGCCUGGACGAGGUGGAGGGCGGGGUCUCUGUGGUCAGCACAGCUCUCUGCUCUGAGCCUCUGCUGAAGGACACAGGGGGCUGCUGACUGUUAAAGGAUCGUCGCUACGGGUCAAUGCCAGGUGGUUCUGGCUUCUUUGGGACAGGAUGCUGAGACCUGGAGAGUGGGCCAGGAACCCCUGAGCCCUGGAGGGAGGCAGGGCCUGGGAGGGGGGCUUGGAGGCCGGGACCAGGGUCCUUGGAGGCUGUGGGGGGCGUGGGGGAAGUUUGCUCUCACCUGGACGUGAUGGAAACUAGGAGAACCUCCCAGGGCCCCGCUGUUGACUGCCAUCCUCCCAGGAGUGGUUUUGUCCUGUUAUUUGCCUGGGCCUGCCCUGCCUCUCCCUCUGGGUUCCAGCCCACGUCCUGGGGCUCCCGGCCAUUGAGUCAGCAGUGGGGCUGAUGGUUCCCAGGUCACCCUCAUCAAUAAGGGGGCUGUCCCCUUGGGAAUGGGGGAGGAGAGCAGGCCAGGACCUGGAGGGGAGGGAUGAGCCCUGUGGGGAGCAGGGAGGAGGAAGAGAUGCAAGCCAGGGGCUGGGUGGGGGCUGAGGAGUGGGCACUGAGCUAGCACUGGCCACACGGGGUCUGGGUGGGGGGCAUCGGGGAGAAGCCAGCAGGUGGGGCCUCGAGCCGUGAUGAGUCAGCCCCGUUUUCUGAAUGGUGCAGCAUUGGCGCGAGUCACAGCAGCCAGACCCCAGGAACAGAACCCCAAGAGCCACUCUGCUCCCCGAUGCUCCCUGUGGGGUCUGUCUGGGUCAGGGUCAUGACCUGAAAGCUGAGGGGCAGAGGCAACUGUCCUCAGAAACAAGAUGGCUCGUCCCCUGCUGGCUGCGGCAGGUGAUCCCCCUUCCCCGCGAGCACUGGCCUCUCGGUCUCCCUGCCCCGAGGCCAGCAGCCCCCUUCAUGCUCAGGAGACAGCCAGGGAGGCUGGGGACCAGCUCUUGGAGGCUAGUUUAGGGAUAAAGGCCGUCCACAGGCUUGGAACCCCAGGGCUCUGACCACUCCCUGCCCUGUCCCCAAGUGCUCUAACCGCAUCAGAAAACACCCCCAACAGCCUCUGAGGGGUUGCUGUGCACUCGAAACAUGAGCGGUGCUCGCUCCCUGGUGGCUGGUCAGCGCUGGCACACGGUUUGAGAAGGCAUGGCCUGGUGGGCCAGAGGCUGUGUUCCAGGUCCUUGUGGCGCCCCUGCCUCCAACAGUGCGGGUGCACGUGUUCGUGCAGAGCCUUCCCAGAAAGCGCGCAUGCUGGGUGUGGGGCAUCCGGGAGAAGGGAGAGGACAGCAGAGAGCUGGUGGUGAGGUCGGGCUCCUGUGGCACCCUCCCCAGUGUGGGCGGGGGGCAGCCGGGUGUUUUCCCACCACGGAGGCCUCGCCGACUGGUGAGGGCUAGGGACGCAGCUUUCCCGAGGGUCAGGGCAGUGCUGGUCUCCAGGACCCCGUCCUGCAGCUCACUUUGAAAUCAGCCCAGGGGGAUGCAGCCUGAAAAGCCACUCCAUGUCCGUUUGAGGACAGCCGCCGUCUGGGCCUGAAGGAUCACAGUGUGAAGUCAUGGGUUGGAAAAGGGCAAUUUUCCUCCUAUUCUCUGAAGUUGCGCUCUUCAUGCAGAGAUUUCCUGGGAACCCCAUUAAGUUUCCCUCUCAGGCAGAUGGCCUUGUAAUUACCCCCAGAUGGGUGGCCACUUGACCUUCCUGGGGUGGUCCCCGGCAGAGACAGGCAGCUAAGUCCUCCCUGGCUUGCCGGAACCCACCCUCUGCCCCCCUGGCCGUCACCACCUUCCAGACAGAAGCCCCUGACGCCCGGCUGGCAUUCACCCUGGGCAGCUGGGUGCAACCUGUUUGGAAUUUGUGAUGGACUGAAGGAUGCUUCUCUCUUUCUGCCUGUGGAAAAGGGGGCGCAAAGCGGAGAAACGUGGAAGAAAAAAUCCCAGGGGGUCUGUCUGCCUGAGUUAGGGCUGAGCUUCAGUCCAUCUCUGGAUAGGGCUCCUGGGAGCCCGUGACCGUGCUGUAAUUAAGGAGGCAGCCUCGGGGGUGUGGGUCUUGAGUGCCCCUGAGGCUGUCUCAGAACAACGGCCGCAAACACCCAGGACCCAACAACAACCAGAAAGGGUUAUUCCAACAAUUUUAGUUUUAAAAACGACACCCACACCUCUUCCACUUGACCCAGAUCCUGCUUUUCUCUGCAGCCUCGUGCGGUACCCACGGCUGCCUUCACGGUGCGGGAGCACGAGCCCUCCCUUCUCUCCUUUCUUGUGCUGGCUCUGGUUUUUCUAGAGGUUCUGUCGUAUUGGCUGCAUGGUGACAGACCCUACCUGCUGUGCCCUGAUCACCCCCGGGGCUGCUCCCACUGUCCCCUGCAGCCUGUGCUGCCUGUGCACCGUCCCGCUCAUCACCCUGUGACUCUUUGGGGCUAUUUCCUUGGAAUGAAUUCCCAGGAUUGCCAAGGGCCUGCUCCGUCUUCUGGCUCCCUCAGGACACCGUCUGAGAAACGGGGACCUGGGCACAACAGGGACGGGAAGGCGCACGUUCUCCCAAGGCCCAGCCAGUGUGCAUUUGACGACUUCCUCCUUUUGUUAAAUUCAAAGGUGUGCGAGGAUGUUCCCUUCACUGUCACAUUUUCUCACCAGAAAGUGGAGCGUUUUCCAGAAAGCUGGAGCAUCCGGAACCCACACUUUAUAAAGUUAUGUCCACUCCGCUGUGCGGUCAAUCGAGAAGCAGGGGAGCGUGGCUUUUCCUGCCCUUCUCCAUAAAUGUGCAAUUCCCUGGCUACAAAGACCCGUCCUGUGGCAUCACGUGGUAGGAAGAUAAUUGGAGCUAACGUGGUGGAGAGGGUUGAAGCCCUCUCAUUGUCAGGAAAUGACUUGCUCUGACGUGCAUGGGCUCCGUCAUCCCUGUCGAUGGGCCCAUCCUCCGUGGGGUCUUUUACGUCCUUUGGUGACGGAAACAAACCCUUUGGGAUGGAGUCUGACAGGGCCUCUCAGAGGUGAUGCCUCCCUUUUAUGAGUCUCCAGUUUACGCAAAAUAAAAGAUCCAAAUCAGGGCUUCAGAAAUUGUGGCACUCACUGUUUGUAUUUGAUGAAUUGACGUUUAG